GACGUAGGGGGCGAGCGUUGUCCGGAUUUAUUGGGCGUAAAGAGCUCGUAGGCGGCUCAGAAAGUCGGGUGUGAAACCUCCAGGCUCAACCUGGAGACGCCACCUGAUACUGCUGUGGCUAGAGUCCGGUAGGGGAACACGGAAUUCCCGGUGUAGCGGUGAAAUGCUUAGAUAUCGGGAGGAACACCAGUGGCGAAGGCGGUGUUCUGGGCCGGAACUGACGUUGAGGAGCGAAAGCGUGGGUAGCAAACAGG
rnacentral:rRNA from 1 species